GUCCCCAGCUUCUCUGUUUGGCCUGGGUUCCUCCUGUGCCCCCUGCAUCCCUGGUUCUGGCUCUUCCUGGGCUGACCUAGAGUUCACCCACCAGUGAGACAGGUGUCGCUCAUUAAAGCUCGUUCAUUAGACGCCUCCUGGCUCCCUGCCCAGGCUGCCUUCCCCAUGCUAAAAUGCCUCGGGGAGCCAACCUGUGCUCCGUGCCUCAGUGCCUCAGUUUACUUUCACUCCAUUUGUGACAGAGGACUCAGAUAAGCAUUUGGACUUUUUUUUUUUUUCCAGUUAGUUUUUGAAACAGUUGGAGCCCAUUCUGGCCUCAAACUUAGUUUAUGCUGAGUUGGCCUUGAGCUCCUGACCUUCCUGCCUCCACUCCCCAGGGCUGGGAUGGCAGGUACGCACCACUUGCUAACAAUGGCAGCUCCUGCUCUUGGGGACCACUACCAUACCGCAUUAACGAUGUGGUCCCUCUGGGAAGAAUUGCAAGUAGCAGGAGAGGUCAGGGACAGAACUGGAGUUCUCGGUGAUUGACAGAUGUGGCCUUAACGUUGCAAGAGGAGGAGGUGCAGCUGGUGGGGAUGCUGAGGUGGCCGCCAGACACUGCUAGUGCCCAGUGCGUGCAGGGUCACUUGUGCGGCCACGCGGGGUGGAGGUGGCCCUCCCGCGCUGUCGUCUGACGCGCCCGUUUCCUUCUGCAGCGGUGCAGCGCGGCCG
rnacentral:lncRNA from 1 species